rnacentral:rRNA from 1 species
CAGCUAGUUGGUGGGGUAACGGCCCACCAAGGCGACGAUCAGUAGCUGGUCUGAGAGGAUGAUCAGCCUCACUGGGACUGAGACACGGCCCAGACUCCUACGGGAGGCAGCAGUGGGGAAUAUUGGACAAUGGGCGCAAGCCUGAUCCAGCCAUGCCGCGUGGGUGAUGAAGGCCCUAGGGUUGUAAAGCCCUUUCGGCGGGGAAGAUAAUGACGGUACCCGCAGAAGAAGCCCCGGCUAACUUCGUGCCAGCAGCCGCGGUAAUACGAAGGGGGCUAGCGUUGCUCGGAAUCACUGGGCGUAAAGCGCACGUAUGCGGCUUCUUAAGUCAGGGGUGAAAUCCUGGAGCUCAACUCCAGAACUGCCUUUGAUACUGAGGAGCUUGAGUCCGGGAGAGGUGACUGGAACUGCUAGUGU